UGACAGCAGGCUUGACACCAGCUACUGUCCAGCUCCCCAGUAAACCAGAUUCCCUCAUUGCUCCUAAUGGGGUCUAGACUGCAGGAGGAGGAAGCAGGUGGGCAAUGUCCAGAUUUCCAUGAUGACCCUCUGAGGAGAUAUCCGUGGCUAGGUUACUGCACGACUACAGCAUCACAGAGGAGACUCCAGAACUCAAACUACCAAGAGCACCCCUCCAUCAGCUUUGUUUCCUAACUCCUGGCCUGCCUCCUUUCUUGUGGCGCCAUCUCACAGCCAAAUGACAACAAGCCCUCUCUGUCCCUCACAAAAUGCCUGUGAUAAAAAGUUCCCUUUGCAGCCAGACCAGCUGAGACUGGUACAUAGAACCAAGACAGCUGACCAAAGGACUUCAAAAAGACCUCAGUCUUCAUGAUAAUCUUAUUUCCAUGCUAAAUGAUACUCCCUCCAGCACCACGACAGUUGACAAUUGCCAUGACAAUGACUGGAAGAAGCCGUAAAAGGACUAAAAGGGAGGCGGUACUACUGAUUCCAGGAGGUUCACCACCCACUUCUGGAAAAGACAUGAAUAUUCUUCCCUUUUCUUUUAAUGUCACCUCCUUCAUUAGAGAAAUCCUGUAUCUUAAGCCCCUCACCCUCACUUGUUGAGAAGUUGAUUGUGAGCCAUCUCCUGCUUCUCAAUUCCACGGCCAUUGAAUAAAGCCUGCACUGCUUGAC
rnacentral:lncRNA from 10 species